GACGAACGCUGGCGGCAUGCCUAAUACAUGCAAGUUGAACGAUGAUAUUCUCUGCUUGCAGAGAAUUGAAGAGUAGCGAACGGGCGAGUAACACGUGGGGAACCUGCCCAUGAGAGGGGGAUAACAUUCGGAAACGGAUGCUAAUACCGCAUAAUGCUUUGGACCGCCUGGUCCAGAGACGAAAGACGGCUUUUGCUGUCACUCAUGGAUGGCCCCGCGCCGUAUUAGCUAGUUGGUGAGGUAAUGGCUCACCAAAGCUGUGAUACGUAGCCGACCUGAGAGGGUGAUCGGCCACACUGGGACUGAGACACGGCCCAGACUCCUACGGGAGGCAGCAGUAGGGAAUCUUCCACAAUGGGCGAAAGCCUGAUGGAGCAAUGCCGCGUGAAUGAAGAAGGUCUUCGGAUCGUAAAGUUCUGUUAUUAGAGAAGAACAAGUCAAGGAGUAACUGUCUUGACUUUGACGGUACCUAACCAGAAAGUCACGGCUAACUACGUG
rnacentral:rRNA from 1 species